GACCGCUCGGCCACUUCCGUCCAGAAGUCUCGCCGCCUCUUGCUCCGGUCGGCGUCUGCUGCCUCCGUCGAGCGGCCGCUGCUCCGGACCUUGGCACCAGUAUACCUCCUUACAUCUCUCUUUCUCGCACCGCCCUCAGCCGAGGAGUCCGCUGCCGCAGCUCCGGAAUCCGGCAAAUCAGUCGGCGCCUUCUCCUUCUCACACCUCUAUUCUCCGUCUCGAUUCACGGACGAAGGCAAAAUGAAAAGAGAGCCCUGAUUUCCUCCCCAAAUCAGAGAGCGCCGCCGCCGCUGCAACUAGAAGGCUGGCGAAGAUCUGGUGCAACCGCCGCCGUCCGCCGACACGCCUGGAAGCUCUAUCGCCGGACGUCGCCGCUGCUGAGGUAACGCCGCCGCCCGGAGUUGCAGCUGCCUUGCCCGGAAUCGAGGUCGCUGGUCUGAUCUCCAGCAGCCCGCCUCGCUCAGAGCCACCGCCGCCGUCGUCAACUGGAGUCUCAGCGGCCACGGUCUCUCUUGGAUCCGCCGGCGUCGUUGUUGUUCCAGAGUUGACGAGGGACGACAGAUAGCUUCUGCCGACAGCGGCCAGUUCGUUGGAGCUGCCCUUCCCCGGAGUCCGACUCGUUCUCCUCCUUUCUUAAAGCUAAGUUUUUCUUCUAAUGCAAUCUAUGUUUCGGUUAUGCAACUAGUAGGCAUUGGUUAAGAAUUGUUGUGGUUUCGCUACUGUCUGGGAAGGUUCUCUAAGAUAGCUGUUGAGAAAUCCUCAGUGCAUCUAUCAUGAUACGAAGUCUCUAAAUGUCUUAUGCCUUUUAUGAAACACGUAUGUAUAACUUUCUACUUGAUGCAUAAAGAAACUGAGAUAAGUAUGAAUAAUGUUUGAGUAACUGAACUGGAAAAUACCUUGAUGUAUAAAUGUUGGUUGGCUGUUGUUGCUGAGUUAAAUGAGCUGGAAUGACUGAACUGAAUAGAUCGAAUGUUGUUGUUUUAGUAAUUGCAGUUGGUUAAUGGAAGGAGAUGGAAC
rnacentral:lncRNA from 1 species